rnacentral:tRNA from 1 species
AAAUAAGAAGCGACAUUAUUGCCCCCAGUUUCGACCUGGAAUUAGAUGAAAAUUCAUCCUUAUUUA